UUGAUCAAAGACAAGUUAUAAGCAAGGAUGUUUUCAAAAUACAAGUGAUCUUUCAAAAGUAAAGGAUGUUAUUAAGAUCAGGGUUCCAAAUGAGAUAAUUCAGGUUAAUGUGGGGUAUCAGUUCUCAUUAUUCAUCAAGGACUAUUGGAGCAUAAUCAUGUGGGUGUAGGGUAAUAUCACAUGAAAAGGUAAUUCAAGUGUUAAGGGUAU
rnacentral:lncRNA from 1 species